rnacentral:rRNA from 1 species
ACUACUUGGAUAACCGUGGUAAUUCUAGAGCUAAUACAUGCUGAAAACCCCAACUUCGGGAGGGGUGUAUUUAUUAGAUAAAAAACCAACGCCCUUCGGGGCUUCUUGGUGAUUCAUGAUAACUUAACGGAUCGCAUGGCCUUGCGCCGGCGACGGUUCAUUCAAAUUUCUGCCCUAUCAACUUUCGAUGGUAAGGUAUUGGCUUACCAUGGUUUCAACGGGUAACGGGGAAUUAGGGUUCGAUUCCGGAGAGGGAGCCUGAGAAACGGCUACCACAUCCAAGGAAGGCAGCAGGCGCGCAAAUUACCCAAUCCCGACACGGGGAGGUAGUGACAAUAAAUACUGAUACAGGGCUCUUUUGGGUCUUGUAAUUGGAAUGAGUACAAUUUAAACCUCUUAACGAGGAACAAUUGGAGGGCAAGUCUGGUGCCAGCAGCCGCGGUAAUUCCAGCUCCAAUAGCGUAUAUUAAAGUUGUUGCAGUUAAAAAGCUCGUAGUUGAACCUUGGGUCUGGCUGGCAGGUCCGCCUCACCGCGUGUACUUGUCCGGCCGGGCCUUCCUUCUGGAGAACCUCAUGCCCUUCACUGGGCGUGUUGGGGACCAGGACUUUUACUUUGAAAAAAUUAGAGUGUUCAAAGCAGGCCUUUGCUCGAAUACGUUAGCAUGGAAUAAUAAAAUAGGACGUGCGGUCCUAUUUUGUUGGUUUCUAGGACCGCCGUAAUGAUUAAUAGGGACAGUCGGGGGCAUCAGUAUUCAAUUGUCAGAGGUGAAAUUCUUGGAUUUAUUGAAGACUAACUACUGCGAAAGCAUUUGCCAAGGAUGUUUUCAUUAAUCAGUGAACGAAAGUUAGGGGAUCGAAGACGAUCAGAUACCGUCGUAGUCUUAACCGUAAACUAUGCCGACUAGGGAUCGGGCGAUGUU